UUGAAUUUGAAGAGUUCAAAUUUGAUUUCAGAUGAGGGAUAAAGCUCACUGAAAUUUAAAGAGAAUUUAUCCCCAUGUGGAUAAGGAUAAAGGCUGAUUUGAAUUUGAAAAGUUCAAAUUCAAAUAAGGGAAGAUAAAGGUGGUGCCUACAAGCUUUAUCUUUAUCUAAGCUGGUGCACACUUUGUUUUCUCAUAGAGAUUCUAUGAAGAAAUACAUGGAAAUGAGAGGGAGGGGGGCC
rnacentral:lncRNA from 1 species